ensembl:lincRNA Gm42523 predicted gene 42523
ACAGGGCUUGCAAGACAGAGACAAGGCAGGCAUGGGAAGACAGGGGAGAGCUAAACAAACACACACACACACACACACACACACACACACACACGCAUGAGCACACACAAACAUAUCAAAGGAGCAAGGUCAGAGCCAAGUGACAUCUUCAAGAUGGAAAUAAACUUCCCUAAACAAAUGAUCAAGAUGAUUGGUCAUUUAUAAAAUCUUUACAGCUUUUAUAAAGAGAAAAGUGUCCAGGUCAUAAACCAAAUAUAUGAGGGAGAAACAAAACAUGGGUCUCCUAGAGAAAAGAAAUCACAAAAGCCACAGCAGGAUUGCUGGCGGGGUAGAGCUGUUCAGAGAAAAAUGGCUCCAUUGUGGAAAUGAUAGACAGUUGACAGACCUUAGAGCCAAGAAGCCAGAUGCCCUGUGGAUAAUAAAUCUACUUUCAGAACCUACAAACUUAGUAGAAGUGGUGACCCAGGAAGGGAGUGCCAAGAUCAUUGAAACUUGGCACAGAAGAUGCAUGGACUGUUUGGAUGCGGUGCUGUGGAUCAGGCUUCUUUAUUACCCAUGGCUGCAUGAUGUGUGUGUGCAGGCUCAGGAGUGACCACUGAGCCUGGAACUCUCUAGAGCUGUGGGACUCUCUGGAGCUAUGUGACUCUCUGGAGCUGAGUUACAGGAAGUUGUGAACUGACUAACAUGGGUCCUGGGAACUAAACUCAGGGACUCUGGGAGAACAGCAACCACCGAGUCACCUCUCUUGUUACAUUCCUAGAGAUGUAAAAAUUACUCUCUAAAUUACCCAGUGCAUGAGUAAGAAUGCUCAGUAGAAGAAAGGAACAAUUCUUUUUGUAAUAUUCAACCAAAAAUGAUUGCCUGCAAUUUGCCCCGGAUAGAAAGGACCGUCUGCAAUUUGUUCAAGUGAGGCUCUGCCUCAGACCCUAUUCUCUAUCAACACUUCCUGAUAACAGGAAUUGUAGUUGCCCGUCAUUAAACCAUAUUCGGAUUUCCACUUCAAUCUUUGUGUCAAGCGCCAAGGUGAAGAGAAUUUUGAUGUCAUAGAAAAGUUAUAGACAAGUUUAUCUGAGCUUCUAAGGGCACUGCCCCUCCUGUUGUAUUCUACAGGAUUCACGGUUUUCACCCAGACCUCAGUUCCUCUGCACAUCUCUUCCCAUUUCCCCAUGAUGGCUGCUUCGCUUUUCAAAUCCUAUGCUCCUGCAAAGCCUGCCACACUCUGCUCGCUUCCUGUAGCCCUUUUCGGAUUUCAGAUACCUUUUCUCUGACAUCUUCUUCCUCACAGUUCUUGCCAUUAUUCUUUUUCCUCUUACAUGUGAGCAACCAAGGAGUCAAUGUCUGGUUUGGAAUCACUCACCCACCUUCAAUGAUCCCUCUUCUACCCUGGCUUAGCCAGUCAUCAUUUAUCACCCUGUUGUCAAUGCCCGCCUCCCAGUACACCACAGACCACCCCAGUUACUCUUGUUAACAGGCACAACACAGGAUGACAGGACCAGAAGAAAGGAAGUGUGCAAGAUAGGAAGAGAAGUCUAAGGUGACUUCAAGACACAAAUCAAAAAUGGUGUGAAGAAACCUCCCAAGUGGAAGAUGAUGGAGAAAAGCCAAACUCCCCUCCCUGCCAUGACAUCAAGGUCAGCAGCCUUGGUGAAGGGUGAUGAACUGUGGGGAGGAGUGGUUAAGAGCAUACACUGCACCAAAGAGGAUCGCUGUUGAUUCCAGUGCCUACAGCUCAAGCUCCUAUAACUCAAACACCCUCCUCUGGCCCCCAGGAGCACCUGCACUCGUGCACACAGACAGACAGACUGACAAAUGGAUGGAUGGAUGGACAGACUGAUGGACAGACCGACACACACACACUUUAUAAAGAGCUGCCACUGAAGGAGGGAAGAAAAUACUGAGUGAGCUGAGAGCUCUGUGGAGCAUCCCUUGUAUCCCUUUGCAUCCAGUGAGCCUGGCCACCACACCAGAUGCUAAUGGUGAGGAUAUAGAACAAGUCACCAACUGUGCCAACUGUGCCUAUGUGAAUUGUCACGACCGGUUUCUGGAAUGUGCUAUAGACAGGCUCUGUCAUUUUUACUAUUGUCUGGAUUUUUUACAUUUUGGUGAUGAAAAGGAACUGUUCUUAUAUAAUUUGUGGCAUGGAGUGCAUUUUGGGUUGAUUUUUAACUUUUGGGGGACACUUGGCAUCACAGACAGGUUCUCGUGUAUGUUAUACGUACACUCUAAAUUACUGCCUGCUGUGUUUGAGACUUUCCCUGCCUUGUAACUCUUUAACUGGUAGAGAAAAUGAGCCUCAUUAAGCCCCCUAGAAGGUAACAUUAGCAGUUAGGAGAAGUGUGAUGGCUUGUAUGUUUGGUCCAGGGAGUAGCACUAUUAAGAGGUGUGGCCUUGUUGGAGUAGGUGUGUCACUGUGGACAUGGGCUUUACUACCCUCAACCUAGCUGCCUGGAAGCCAGUCUUCUCCUAGCUGCCUUCAGAUGAAGAUGUAGAACUCUCAGCUCCUCCUGCACCAUGACAGCCUGGAUGCUGCCAUGCUCCUACCUUGAUGAUAACGGACUGAAUCUCUGAACCUGUAAGCCAGCCCCAAUUAAAUUUUGUCCUUAUAAGAAUUGCCUUGGUCAUGGUGUCUGUUCACAGCAGUAAAAACCUAAAACAAGAGGUAAGAAACCUAGGAGGAAGGGGACAGAUUCCUGUAUUAAAUGACCUUUGAAGCGCCCUUUUCUUUUGUUGUACAACCUCAUUAGAAGGUUAAGUUCUCUCAGAAUGUAUCUUGUGCUUAUUCCUGAGUGUAGCCAGAAAUCUCCUAUAGACUGUCUGUAAUGCAACUGAAGUGUGCCCGUUAUCUUCUAUAAAUAUAUGAAUGACACAACACAUCU